rnacentral:tRNA from 1 species
GCCGGGGUGGCUCAGCCUGGCGGAGCGACGGACUCAUAUGGCCCGGGCAUCUUGCCCGGGUCCGAGAGAUCCGUAGGUCAUGGGUUCAAAUCCCAUUCCCGGCA